GAAUCUGAUCUAAGCUCUAAGUUGGAACCUUUGUUUCAUACCUGAGCUAUUUUGAUCUAGAUUAGCAUUCGGGGACCCUCCAUAACGGAACGAGUGUAAUGUGAUGGAAACAUGGUAGAUACGCCGCUGGUGCUGUCUUGAGAUGAUUAUUGAUACAUUCUACACUUAGGAUGGACUCGUGCCUUAGCAACUUUAAAACUUGGAAGAUCAUAGUUGUACUUAUGUGAUUGUAAUAGAACAAUGAGUACAUUUAAUCAAUAAAACAAUAUU
rnacentral:lncRNA from 1 species